rnacentral:rRNA from 1 species
UACAGAGGUGGCAAGCGUUGUUCGGAUUCAUUGGGUGUAAAGGGUGCGUAGGCGGCUUGGAAAGUCAGAUGUGAAAUCCUAGAGCUUAACUCUAGAACUGCAUUUGAAACUUCCAGGCUUGAGUACGAGAGAGGUGUAGGGAAUUCCCGGUGUAAGGGUGAAAUCUGCAGAGAUCGGGAGGAACACCAGUAGCGAAGGCGCUACACUGGCUCGUAACUGACGCUGAGUGCACGAAGGCGUGGGGAGCAAACGGG